UGCCGGUCGUUAAGCCGGAGGAAGGUGGGGAUGACGUCAAGUCCUCAUGGCCCUUAUGCCCAGGGCUACACGACGUGCUACGAAUGGGCGGUACAAAGGGUAGCGAUGCCGCGAGGCGAACGACCAAUCCCAAAAAGCCGUCCUCAGUUCGGAUUGGAGUCUGCAACUCGACUCCAUGAAGCCGGAAUCGCUAGUAAUCGCGGAUCAGCAUGCCGCGGUGAAUACCGGUUCCGGCCUU
rnacentral:rRNA from 1 species